GCAUCCGUAGCUCAGCUGGAUAGAGUACUCGGCUACGAACCGAGCGGUCGG
rnacentral:tRNA from 1 species